rnacentral:rRNA from 1 species
AAAUAUGGUUUUGUAUAUAAUUUGGUAUUGCAUAUCAUUUAAAAAUAAUUUUAUAAAAAUAAAUAAUAGAAUUAGAAGGUAGAAAAGUUUAUUAUUUUUAUUGUUUCAUAAUAAAAAUUAUAACUUUUAGUGUUGAUAAGUCGACUUUUAGGAUAUCUGUGUAUAUUUUAUUAUUAGAAAUUUAUAAUCAAUUAGUUGAAUAUUUUAUAAAAAGUAAGAGUUAGAGUAUCUAUUUUGUUAGUUUUAUAACAGUUUAUUUAAAUUUUAUUGUAAGUUAAAUUAUGUUAUAUAAUAAUUUUUUAUUGUAUAAAUUAUUUUAAAAUUAGUAGUUAAAAUAAAAUAAUAUAAUAUUUUUAAAUAUAAUCAAAAAACUCAGUAAUUAAUCAAAUGUUUUUUAAAGACUUAGACUUUUUAGUAAAGUUUGCUUCUGCCCAAUGAAUAUUUUUAAAUGGCAGUCUUAGCGUGAGGACAUUAAGGUAGCAAAAUAAUUAGUGCUUUUAUUGAGUUCCAGUAUGAAUGAAGUUAUUGGUUAAUUUAUUUUUUGAUUUUAAUAUGAAUUUUUUAUUAAUUAUAAAAAAGUAUUAGUAUAGUAAUACAAAGAUAAGUCUUCGGAAAUUCUUUUUUAAUAAUAAUAAAAGAGUUAUUUUUAAAAAUUUUCUAGGGCAGAAAUUUAUAUAUUUGUUAUAUCUAUUAAUAAUUUAUAGAAUUACUCCGGAGUUAACAGAAAAUCAUAUCUGAUCUAGUUCUUAUAGUAGGAUAAGUUUUACAUCGAUGUUGUAUUUAAGUAAAUUAAAAAAGGAGAAGAUUUAAAAUUUAAGACUGUUCUUCUUUUAAUUAACUUAACGUGAUAUUAGUUUAAUUCAUUGUGAGAUAGAAUUGUUUAUCUUGUUUAUUAUUUAAAAAAAAUUUUAAUAGUACGAAAGGAAAAUUAAAAAAAAUUUAAAAUUUUUUAAGUUAUUUAACUU